UACGGAGGGUGCAAGCGUUGUUCGGAUUUACUGGGCGUAAAGCGCGCGCAGGUGGAUGAGCAAGUCGGAAGUGAAAUCUUGAGGCUCAACCUCGAGGCUGCUCCCGAAACUGUUCGUCUAGGGACUGGUAGAGGCUGGUAGAAUUCCCGGUGUAACGGUGGAAUGCGUAGAGAUCGGGAAGAAUACCCGUGGCGAAGGCGGCCAGCUGGGCCAGGUCCGACACUGAGGCGCGAAAGCGUGGGGAGCAAACAGG
rnacentral:rRNA from 1 species